rnacentral:tRNA from 1 species
GGUCUUGUAGUUUAAGAAAAAUUUUAAAUUGCAAAUUUAAAGAUAAGGUAUUUAAGACUU